UCCCAGGUGGCUCAGAUGGUAAAUCUGCCUGCAAUGCAGAUGACCCAGGUUUGAUCCCUGGGUUGGGAA
rnacentral:tRNA from 1 species